rnacentral:rRNA from 1 species
UAAAGAUUCAUCGCUGAUAGAUAGGCAUGCGUUCCAUUAGGCAGUUGGCGGGGUAACGGCCCACCAAACCGACGAUGGAUAGGGGUUCUGAGAGGAAGGUCCCCCACAUUGGUACUGAGACACGGACCAAACUCCUACGGGAGGCAGCAGUGAGGAAUAUUGGUCAAUGGGCGUAAGCCUGAACCAGCCAAGUCGCGUGAGGGAUGAAGGUUCUAUGGAUCGUAAACCUCUUUUAUAAGGGAAUAAAGUGCGGGACGUGUCCCGUUUUGUAUGUACCUUAUGAAUAAGGAUCGGCUAACUCCGUGCCAGCAGCCGCGGUAAUACGGAGGAUCCGAGCGUUAUCCGGAUUUAUUGGGUUUAAAGGGUGCGUAGGCGGCCUUUUAAGUCAGCGGUGAAAGUCUGUGGCUCAACCAUAGAAUUGCCGUUGAAACUGGGGGGCUUGAGUAUGUUUGAGGCAGGCGGAAUGCGUGGUGUAGCGGUGAAAUGCUUAGAUAUCACGCAGAACCCCGAUUGCGAAGGCAGCCUGCCAAGCCAUGACUGACGCUGAUGCACGAAAGCGUGGGGAUCAAACAGGAUUAGAUACCCUGGUAGUCCACGCAGUAAACGAUGAUCACUAGCUGUUUGCGAUACAGUGUAA